GCGUUGUCCGGAAUCAUUGGGCGUAAAGAGCGUGUAGGCGGCCCGAUAAGUCCGCUGUGAAAGUCAAGGGCUCAACCCUUGAAUGCCGGCGGAUACUGUCGGGCUAGAGUCCGGAAGAGGCGAGUGGAAUUCCUGGUGUAGCGGUGAAAUGCGCAGAUAUCAGGAGGAACACCUACGGCGAAGGCAGCUCGCUGGGACGGUACUGACGCUGAGACGCGAAAGCGUG
rnacentral:rRNA from 1 species